UACGGGGGGGGCAAGCGUUGUCCGGAAUUAUUGGGCGUAAAGAGCUCGUAGGCGGCUUGUUGCGUCGACUGUGAAAACCCGUGGCUCAACCAUGUGGUCUGCAGUCGAUACGGGCAGGCUAGAAUUCGGUAGGGGAGACUGGAAUUCCUGGUGUAGCGGUGAAAUGCGCAGAUAUCAGGAGGAACACCGGUGGCGAAGGCGGGUCUCUGGGCCGAUUGAUCGCUGAGGAGCGAAAGCGUGGGGAGCGAACAGG
rnacentral:rRNA from 1 species